CCUGGCUCAGAUUGAACGCUGGCGGCAUGCUUUACACAUGCAAGUCGAACGGCAGCGGGGGCUUCGGCCUGCCGGCGAGUGGCGAACGGGUGAGUAAUGCAUCGGAACGUGCCCAUGUCGUGGGGGAUAACGUAGCGAAAGCUACGCUAAUACCGCAUACGCCCUGAGGGGGAAAGCGGGGGAUUCUUCGGAACCUCGCGCGAUUGGAGCGGCCGAUGUCGGAUUAGCUAGUAGGUGAGGUAAAGGCUCACCUAGGCGACGAUCCGUAGCGGGUCUGAGAGGAUGAUCCGCCACACUGGGACUGAGACACGGCCCAGACUCCUACGGGAGGCAGCAGUGGGGAAUUUUGGACAAUGGGCGCAAGCCUGAUCCAGCCAUGCCGCGUGAGUGAAGAAGGCCUUCGG
rnacentral:rRNA from 1 species